UACAAAAAGUCCAACAUUCCUUGGGUUUGGCGUAACUGCGAUUGUGGUGGUCGGACUCGCUUGGGAUCGCCGUCGCUUCUAGACAACUUAAUAAACACCGAGGCAGUCAACUUUUUCUAAUUGCUGUUAAGAAUUUCCAGUUUUCCAUAUUUAGGUAAAUUCUGCUGGUUAGAAGAAAACGGUAACGAAAGGACGUGGUGCAAAGUUACAGCUAUAGUACUUCUCUGCUAGAUCCAGUGUUUAAAGUAGGUCACUCAAAGAAACUGUGAAAUGGCUACAAACUGACAACUUAAAUGAAAAGUGCUUCACUGUGGAAACAGAAUGGAGCACAUGGAAAGAACAUCUAGGGAAGACAUCAUCCAAGCAGAAUUUAACACAAUUUUAAAUUUGAAUAAGUUUUGAUUCAACUCGAGUCCGAUUUGUUAUGGCAGCUUGCACACUGUAUAACACUUUUUGGGCGACUGUGACAGUUGUGUGGUGGUCAUUUUUUCAGUGUUGUCCUUUUAUGGAAAAAAGUCCGAAAAGUGUAUAAAGUAGGUUUCAACUCUAGAAGUCCUGUGAAAUGGUCAUAUACUGACAGUGUAAAUGUGUGUUGCUCUUUGGGAUCAGGCUGGAGCAAAAGGAACAAUAAUCUUGAAUAUGUAAUCUGAGGAGAAUUAGUAAAACAAAAGGUUAGAUAUUAUUCCUUAAUAUUGUGCUGUUGCAACUUCCGAAAGCCUUUCCCAAAAUUGCAGUAAAGUAUUUUGCCUUAAGUAAUUAAUCAACCAUUUUUAAACUAACACUUACAAAUAUGUAUAAGCCGAAUAUUAAGCCUUCAAAAUGGUCACAGACAAUGUAGAUGGAGCUGCUUUUCUGCUGGGUCAGACUAGAGAAAAACAAGAGCACCCUAGGAGGACAUGAUCCUAGCAGAUAACUGAUGUUUGUUUGUAGCUUUACAAUGACUAGUUACAAAAGAUCACCAUGACAAAACAAUAGUCUGCCUUGAAAAUGACAUCAUGUACUUUCAAAAAUAUCACUGAUGCAGAGAAUCCUAUUUUGAGACUAACAUUGUCUACUUUCAUGAGAAUUAACAAAUUACCUGCGGGAUAUCUCUUGGUGACAAGGAUUUCUGGUGAGAAUGGUAUUACUUGCUAAAACAUCAUUAUUCAGUGAAAAGAGGACAGCUGCCAUAGGAGUGACAUUUUUACUGUACUUACAAAAACAGAAUUCCAACAUCAAUCUUGACAAGUACCUGCUGAAAUACCACUGACAAGAGGAUGCCUGCCAUGAUGAUGUGUAUUUGCUCUGCCUGUGGAAAACAUGACUCCGAAACUAUUACAGAGGCAACAUUUAAUAUUUACUUAAGCUGGUAAAAAGCUGAAACACACUAAUGCUUCUUCAUUAAAAACUAUAGAUAUAAAGUACUGUGCGUGUGGCAUUAAAAAUUUCAAUGCUU